AUUAUGAUAUAAAGCGGGGGACCCACUUUUUUGGGGCGAAUUUCCUUUAUGGAAUAGGAUACUUUUCAAUCCGAGUCCGGCAGCUAACCUCGUCAGCAUUGAAAAGAG
rnacentral:sRNA from 1 species